AACGUAGGUGGCAAGCGUUAUCCGGAUUUACUGGGCGUAAAGCGUGUGCAGGCUGUUCACCAAGUGGUGUAUGAAAGCGCUCGGCUCAACCGGGCAAGGGUAUGCCAGACUGGUGGACUAGAGACUGACAGAGGGUGGUGGAAUUCCGGGUGUAGUGGUGAAAUGCGCAGAUAUCAGGAGGAACACCGGUGGCGAAGGCGGGUCUCUGGGCCGAUACUGACGCUGAGGAGCGAAAGCGUGGGGAGCGAACAGG
rnacentral:rRNA from 1 species